rnacentral:rRNA from 1 species
GACAGAGGUGCCAAGCGUUAGGCGGAAUCACUGGGCUUAAAGCGUGCGUAGGCGGGUCGUUAAGUACCUUGUGAAAUCCCACGGCUUAACCGUGGAACUGCUCGGUAUACUGGCGAUCUUGAGCCACUUAGGGGUCAGCGGAACAAAUGGUGGAGCGGUGAAAUGCGCAGAUAUCGGGAGGAACACCUAUGGCGAAGGCAGCUCGCUGGGACGUUACUGACGCUGAGACGCGAAAGCGUGGGGAGCAAACAGG